GGGCCCGCAGCUCAAUGGUUAGAGCCAUCUGCUCAUAACCGACUGGUUGCAGAUUCGAGUCCUGUCGAGCCCACCA
rnacentral:tRNA from 1 species